UACGGAGGGUGCGAGCGUUGUCCGGAAUCACUGGGCGUAAAGCGCGUGUAGGCGGCUUGGUAAGUCCGCUGUGAAAGCCCGGGGCUCAACCCCGGGAGGCGGGUGGAUACUGUCAAGCUCGAGUCCGGAAGAGGCGAGUGGAAUUCCUGGUGUAGCGGUGAAAUGCGCAGAUAUCAGGAGGAACACCAAUGGCGAAGGCAGCUCGCUGGGACGUGACUGACGCUGAGACGCGAAAGCGUGGGGAGCAAACAGG
rnacentral:rRNA from 1 species